rnacentral:rRNA from 1 species
CGAAGGGGCUAGCGUUGUUCGGAAUCACUGGGUGUAAAGGGUGCGUAGGCGGGUCUUUAAGUCAGGGGUGAAAUCCUGGAGCUCAACUCCAGAACUGCCUUUGAUACUGAAGAUCUUGAGUUCGGGAGAGGUGAGUGGAACUGCGAGUGUAGAGGUGAAAUUCGUAGAUAUUCGCAAGAACACCAGUGGCGAAGGCGGCUCACUGGCCCGAUACUGACGCUGAGGCACGAAAGCGUGGGGGAGCAAACAGGAUU